rnacentral:tRNA from 2 species
AGAAAUUUAGGUUAACCUAGACCAAAAGCCUUCAAAGCUUUCAGCAGAAGUGAAAACCUUCUAAUUUCUG